rnacentral:rRNA from 1 species
CCUACGGGGGGCUGUAGUGGGGAAUAUUGGACAAUGGGCGAAAGCCUGAUCCAGCCAUGCCGCGUGUGUGAAGAAGGCCUUCGGGUUGUAAAGCACUUUCAGUGGGGAAGAAAGCCUUGGGGCUAAUACCCUCGAGGAAGGACAUCACCCACAGAAGAAGCACCGGCUAACUCCGUGCCAGCAGCCGCGGUAAUACGGAGGGUGCGAGCGUUAAUCGGAAUUACUGGGCGUAAAGCGCGCGUAGGCGGUCUGAUAAGCCGGUUGUGAAAGCCCCGGGCUCAACCUGGGAACGGCAUCCGGAACUGUCAGGCUAGAGUGCAGGAGAGGAAGGUAGAAGUCCCGGUGUAGCGGUGAAAUGCGUAGAGAUCGGGAGGAAUACCAGUGGCGAAGGCGGCCUUCUGGACUGACACUGACGCUGAGGUGCGAAAGCGUGGGUAGCAAACAGGAUUAGAUACCCCAGUAGUC